GCGAUUCUAAAGCUAUGCAAGGAGUAGGAUCAUCUCAAUCAAUGGAGGAGACCCAAAACCCCUUUCCCUAAAACCCUAAUUUCGUUUUAAGGGUAUUGUGUUUUACAUUGAUGUAUAAUUUUACUUAUCUUUUUGAUGAAUCAGAGUGUUAGAUUAUACGAUGCAGGUGGAAAUGUACUGAGAGAGGCGUUCAACUGUGGUAGUGGCAGUCUUAGAUUGUUGUUUUCCUGACAAUUCUUCUGGGUUCACACCGGAUUUUGAUCAUACAGUGAGGAGGUAGAUCACUGUCGCCCUCAAGCUUUGGAGUGAUGACAACUUAACAUGCUUUUGAUGGCUCAAGCAAUCAACCGACGGAUAAGCAAUUUAUCAUGGCUGAAAACCAUAUUCAAACCUCAUCCAUAUCAGGAUUAUGAAGAUUGGUUUUAAUAUUUGAAUUAUAUCCACCUCGGGACCGUCGUUGAAUAUUUCAUUCUUUUUGCUGAGGCUCAUAAAGUCAGAGAGGCUCCACCAUUUCAUUUGUCUACGAGAAACUUGUAUAAUUUAAGGCAAUUCGGUCGCUGGUGUUUCUGGUAACCUGGCUCAGUCUUGCAAGAGUUUGUUAACCAGUCUUUGGCCAGUUUAGUUCAACACGGGUGUUUCAGGGCAGCAGGUGUUACAAAAUACCCAUUAAAGUACUUCAGAGUUAUGGAAAUCGUAGACUAUUUCAUUCUGUUUACUGAAUUGAAAUUGAAAAAUGGAAGUAUCAGUUCUUUCAGAUAAGUGCUCUAUUUCUAUCUUAUAUCCUCAGAGGCGGAGAGCGAGUUCAACAUCAUAUCAGGGAUAUGCCAUUUACAGUUAGUUUGAUAACUAAGAACCAGCAGUGGGAUAAAUAAACGUGAAGCUAAAAAGAGUAGCGCGGCAGCCAGCUACUUAUGUGGUCCUUUUGGUGCACUGUCCACUUCUUUAUUACUCUUGCUUGAAGAAUUGUCAAGCCUUCUGUUACGAUCACUAUCAUCACCAGCAGCUGCUGACCGUAAAUCUGUUGAAGAGCUAGUCCGCCUUCUGUUAUUAUAGCUAUUAUCAUCAUCAGCAUUUGCGGAGUGUAAAUUUGUCAAAGAGCUGUCAAGCCUGGGGUUACGAUCACUAUCAUGAACAGAAGGCUGUGAACAUGUGCAAGUCACCAGGAAUCGGCCUCUCUGAUAUGUGUGUUCAGAAAAAUUUUGCCCUGUGGAAGAGUUGGCUGGUGGAGGCAACGGCGCGCACUGCUGAGGUAGAGAUCCCCACGAAGACGAACUCUCGCUGUUGCCAAGACUACUACUGUUCCUUUUUUCUGCAACAGCUGCUAUAUGUAAUUCUUCCAACAAAUGCCAAGGGAUAGACAUACCAGCAGGUGGCUUAGGAGAAGUUGAUGAUGACUCAUGACUGAACGUCAACUUUUCUGGUGGCUUCAAAGGCGCAUGAUGCUGAGCUAGAGAUGCCGAUGAAGCUGAAUUCUCACCGUUUCUUUUGCGACUGCUUGCAUCUGUUCUGGAAGGUGUAUUUCUUCGGUACAUUUCUAUUCUUAGUCCUCCAUCACUACUUGUCUUCAAAGACUUCUCGCCACACUUAAAAAAGCUAGGUAUACUUGGCUUGCGUUUCCUUGGAUUUGCUGCAUCAUCGGAGGUUGCAGCUCCUUCCCUGCAAUAAUCAGAGCCUUGGAAUUACACAAGAUAGGCUUUCAAAGGGCAUUUGGACACACUGAAAUAUGCAUCAUUCUGACACACUGUUAAACCCUAAUUCAACAAAACCAAGAUUAAAAUCUCCAAUCAAGAUUCAGUAACCCAUUUCUUCUAAAACCCUAAAUUUAACAAAAAGAUUCAGUUUUUUUUUGGAGUCAAAUUAAAAACAAUGAACCUAAUUUCUUUAAAUUUCUUGAUUUCGAUAAAGAUUCAAGAAUCGAAGUAGUUACAUAGAAGUCAUUGUAUCUAAUUCACUACUCUGUCCCUCAUUAUCGUCUACUUCUUCUUCUUCAUUACCCUGUUCACCUUCAUCACCAUCAAUACUCAGAAGAUAAAUUUCUCCCCUUUCUUCCUCUUUUUCUUCCUCCAUUGCAGCUUUGCCUCUGUCACUAUGAUCCAUUAGAGUAAUGCAACGAUUCUUCUCAGAAAUAAAUAGCAAAACUACUCACGAAUCAGGUUUUCCCUUAAAUUUCUAUCAAGAAUGAACAAUGAUCAUCUAAACAAAGAUGAUUCUUGAAAUGAGAUUGAGAAGUAAUUUUGAUGUGGGUUUUAUGUUUCAAAAAAAAUAAAGUAAUGUUGAUGAAUAUACGUUAAGUUUUGGGUUUUUUUAGGUUUUGAUCUUCUCUGAAGAAAACAGAGGAAAACAGAGUAUUUUGAAACAGAGAGAGCGGGGAAAGGGAAAGAGUGGAAGUCCUUUUAUUGAAGAUAUUUUUUAGCGAUACUGUGCUAACGGGGUUAUGGUAAGUAUGUUAGUUUCUGAA